GAGGCGCCGGGCUCUUUUCCGCCGCUGGCCUGGUUUCGCUUUGGCUGUGGGUCCGCGCAGGCCAACUUCUGGAGGUCAACGUGAGGGAGACGAAAGGACGAGGUUGUGCCGGGCCUCCCAGGAGCCUGCUUAAAGAGACCUGGCGCGUGGGGCGCCUGGCGGGCUCAGUCGGUGGAGCGAGCCCCUCUUUAUCUUGUGGUCGUGAGUUCAAGCCCUACCUUAGGUGUAGGGAUGACUAAAAAAAAAUAAACUUUAAAUAAGAAAGAGAGCCGGCGCGCACCGCUGUCUUCCGCUGGGAGUGUCCUCGGGAGUAGCUGGACCGGGAAAUGGGGAAAAGAGCUUCCGCCGGUCAAGUUGGUAGACCCCGGCCGUGUCCUCGCGUCCUCACCGACCACGCGGUUCCGGCUCAUGCCGAUAUGGAACCACCCUUGCCUCCCUGGAUAAAUCCCAUUUGAUCGUGGUGUUUGAUCCCUUUAAUGUGUUGUUUAA